ACUGGGAAAUGGGGGCGUUUUGAAGCGCUUCUUCAUGACGAGUCGCAUUGUAUGAAUGAGCCACGCAAUGCGACCAAAAAGAGCUGUCCCCUCGGAGGAUAUACUGCGGUUCGUUGGAGUAGCUUGAGCUAGCAUAGGGCUAACGCCUUGUGCUGGCUUUCGGAGCGUAUCCUGUCAAGAUGCUGCGGUGGAUACGACAGCAGCUGGGCUUUGACCCUCCCCAUCAGAGUGACACCCGGACGGUUUAUGUAGCAAACCGUUUCCCCCAGCAUGGCCAUUACAUACCACAACGCUUUGCAGACAACAGAAUCAUCUCAUCCAAGUACACGGUUUGGAAUUUUGUCCCUAAGAAUCUGUUUGAGCAAUUCCGGCGGAUAGCAAACUUCUAUUUUCUCAUCAUCUUCCUUGUGCAGUUAAUGAUAGACACUCCAACUUCCCCAGUCACCAGUGGGCUCCCUCUCUUCUUUGUGAUCACAGUUACAGCUAUUAAACAGGGCUAUGAGGACUGGCUGAGACACAAGGCAGACAAUGAGGUGAAUGGAGCUCCAGUGUUUGUGGUUCGCAGUGGAAGUCUGGUAAAGACCAAAUCCAAAAACAUCAGGGUUGGGGAUAUUGUUCGUGUUGCCAAGGAUGAAACUUUUCCAGUUGAUCUGAUUUUGCUGUCGUCCGAUCGUGUUGACGGUACUUGUCAUAUCACCACAGCCAGCCUUGACGGGGAGACAAACCUUAAGACCCAUUUUUCUGUGCCAGAGACUUCUGUGUGCCAGUCAGUGUCCCAGCUAGAGGCCUUGCAGGCUGUGGUGGAGUGUCAACAGCCAGAGGCCGACCUAUACAGAUUUGUAGGACGUAUAACUGUGACUCAGCAUGAAGAGGAGAUCGUCAGACCAUUGGGUCCAGAGAACUUGCUGCUGCGAGGGGCAAGGCUGAAAAAUACCAAAGAGAUUUUUGGUGUGGCAGUUUAUACAGGGAUGGAAUCCAAGAUGGCGCUCAACUACAAAUGCAAGUCUCAGAAACGCUCUGCUGUUGAGAAAUCCAUGAAUACCUUCCUGAUAAUCUACCUGGCCAUUUUGCUGUUUGAGGCGAUCAUCAGCACUAUUCUGAAGUAUGCCUGGCAGGCUGAAGAGAAAUGGGAUGAGCCUUUCUACAAUCAGAAGACUGAGCAAGAGAAAAACAGCAGUCCGAUCCUUAAGUUCAUAUCAGACUUCUUGGCAUUCCUGGUGCUCUACAACUUUAUCAUCCCGAUCUCACUGUACGUUACUGUGGAGAUGCAGAAGUUUCUGGGCUCCUUCUUCAUUGGUUGGGAUUUAGACCUUUACCAUGAGGAGAGCGACCAGAAAGCUCAGGUCAACACUUCAGAUCUCAAUGAAGAGUUGGGGCAGGUUGAGUAUGUGUUUACAGACAAGACCGGUACGCUAACAGAAAAUGAAAUGCAGUUCCGCGAGUGUUCAAUAAAUGGCAUCAAGUAUCGGGAAAUGAAUGGCAAACUGGUACCAGAGGGGAUGACUGAUGAUUCACCAGAUGGUUCUUCACCUCGUCUGAUAGGUGAUGAAUUAUUAUUCCUCAAGGCCGUGUCCAUGUGUCACACCGUUCAAAUCAGCUAUGACCAGCCAGAUUCCCUGCUAGGAGGGGACCCGUUCUCCCACGCCAAUGGUUACUCCUCUAAUCACAUGGAGUACUACGCCUCCUCACCAGAUGAGAAAGCUUUGGUAGAGGCAACAAAGAGAAUUGGAGUGGCUUUCACAGGCAGCAGUGGAGAUACCAUGGAAAUCAAAACUUAUGGGAAAUCUGAGAAGUAUAAACUGCUCCAUGUCUUAGAGUUUGACCCAAACCGUAGGAGGAUGAGCGUCAUACUGCAGACUCCCUCAGGAGGAAAAGUGCUUUUCACAAAAGGUGCUGAGUCUGCCAUCUUGCCUUUCAGUACUGAUGGAGAGAUUGAAAAAACAAGAUUACAUGUGGACGAAUUUGCCUUGAAAGGUUUGCGUACCCUCGUUGUAGCAUGUCGCCACUUCAGUCCAGAAGAGUACAUUGAUGUGGACAAGCGCCUGACUUCUGCUCGCACGGCUCUGCAGCAGAGGGAGGAGAAACUACAGGAAGCUUUUGCCUACAUCGAAAGAGAUCUGCAGCUCCUGGGAGCAACCGGGGUGGAAGACAAACUUCAAGACAAAGUUCAGGAGACAAUCGAAGCUUUGCGCCUGGCAGGAAUCAAAGUGUGGGUGUUGACAGGAGACAAACACGAGACGGCAGUCAGCGUCAGCCUGUCAUGUGGCCACUUUCACAGGACCAUGAACAUCUUGGAGCUUCUGCAGCAGCGCUCCGAUAAUGAGUGUGCAGAGCAGCUCCGCAGACUGGCCCGGAGGAUAAAAGAAGACCACGUUAUUCAGCACGGCUUGGUUGUAGAUGGAGCUAGUCUGUCUUUAGCCUUGAGGGAACAUGAGAAACUGUUUAUGGAAGUUUGUAAAAACUGCUCAGCCGUGCUCUGCUGCCGUAUGGCUCCUCUUCAGAAAGCAAAGGUGGUCCGUUUGCUAAAGACCUCCCCAGAAAAGCCAAUAACAUUAGCUAUCGGGGAUGGAGCAAAUGAUGUCAGCAUGAUACAAGAAGCUCAUGUGGGCAUAGGCAUCAUGGGGAAGGAAGGUCGACAGGCCGUGAGAAACAGUGACUAUGCAAUUGCUAGGUUUAAAUUCCUGGCUAAACUACUGUUGGUCCAUGGUCACUUCUACUACAUUCGAAUAGCUACUCUUGUACAGUACUUUUUCUACAAGAAUGUGUGUUUUAUUACGCCACAGUUUUUAUACCAGUUCUUCUGCUUGUUUUCACAACAAACUCUGUAUGACAGUGUUUACCUGACGCUGUACAACAUCUGCUUCACCUCGCUGCCCAUCCUUGUGUAUAGUCUGUUUGAGCAGCUGGUCCAUCCUGACAUCCUGCAGAGUAAACCGUGCCUGUACAGAGAUAUCAGCAAAAACUCUCUGCUGUCCUUCCGGACGUUCCUGUACUGGACUGUGUUGGGCUUCAGUCAUGCCUUUGUGUUUUUCUUUGGGUCCUACAUACUGAUGGGGGAGGACACCACACUCAUGGGCAAUGGACAGAUGUUGCGAGCUAACAGGCAGCUGAUGUUUGGGAACUGGACGUUUGGAACACUCGUCUUUACUGUGAUGGUCAUCACUGUGACUUUAAAGCUGGCAUUAGAGACGCAGUUUUGGACCUGGAUGAACCAUUUUGUGACGUGGGGCUCAAUCGCUUUCUAUUUCAUCUUCUCUCUCUUUUACGGAGGGAUUAUUUGGCCAUUCCUGCACACCCAGGACAUGUACUUCGUCUUUGUCCAACUGCUGUCCAGUGGUUCUGCCUGGUUCGCCAUCAUCAUUAUUGUCAUCACCUGCCUCUUUCCUGACGUGUUGAAGAAGGUCUUAUACAGACAUCUUCGUCCAACCAGCACACAGAAGAGUCAGAUGGAGCAGGGUGAGGGUUCAGUCGGCCCAGUAUAUGACCCUGUUAAAGCCCAGCGGAGCCCAGGGGAGGACAAUUGGCACCUGCUAGCUGCUUAUCCUCCCCCUGCUGCCCCCGGCACAGACCCAUGCUCCCCUAGUCUCUACCAGCCCACCAGGCCCAGGCCCUCAGCUGUCUGGAGUCCCUGUGCUGCUACCAGCAUGGGCAAAGCGGCUGUUCCCGCCUGGCCCUCCUCCUGGAACAAAUGACGGGACAAUGCAAGGCCAGCGUCAACAAUUGCCACUCAUCCAGCCGCAGCAACAGGUCUUGGAGCGACACAGAGAACUUCUAUUCCAAUGAUCGCAGCAUCCUGACUCUGUCGCCCAUCGAGGCCAGCCGCUGUUGACUCCCAUGGCCACCACCCUUUAUGCACGCAUAAGUGGGAGAACACACCACCACCCAGCCAUGAGUCACAAUCUGACCCCGCCCCCUUGGUACCAUUUUAUGCACCCACUAUGUUUUUAAGUCUGUGCCUCCUUAGUGGAAACCAGCAACAAAUGGGAUGCUGCUCCAGCUCUGAGCUGCUGUCUGUCUGCAGCCUCCUUCCUGUCCCUGACUUCAUCAUUUCUUAAAGGCUGAGACAAGCAUCAGAGGAAAUGAAAGGAGUCAGCCUGGUUCGCCGUCUCUGCAGCCGUAGCACUUCAUGCUGAAAGAUACGAUCAGUACAUGAGCAGGAAAUAUCAGAUUCCCAGACUGUGAGCCUUGUAAGAUGAUCUGAAAAACACACUUUAAAAAGUCCUCAUAAGUUCCUUUCUCUGGAUAGGUGCCAGACUUUUCAGCGAAAGCAGACCUGAAUCUUAGCAAACUUUCUAUGUUCUGGACUAGAUUUGUUGUUUUUCACAAGUGUUGAUCAGCACAGCUCAAAGGUUAGAACUGGAAGAAGCUUAAAUAAGCCAGACGGAAAGAACUGAAGAUCCCAAGGCUUCCUGUAGUCUGUGAGCUGUCUGAUCCACUGCUGCACCUUAAAUGACUCGUUCAGACGACAACAAGUCCUGUAGCAUCCAGACGUUCUGCUGGGACCUAUCCUGCUCUCUGAGCUGAACAUGGAACUUAAUCUCUUCAGUGGUACCAAAGACCAGAAGAUCAAGCGUGGAGUUAGUGUUUAUUUUUGUGCCUGAUUGUACAGAAGCCUAUAUCGUUAUGUAGUUAUUUGUCCGUGCUGCUUUCUCGUCUUGCCGUUCAGCCCUCUGUCUCCCAGCGCAUAUGUCUGAAAGAGGCAGGAAGAUUUAAAAAGCCAUACAUUUUGAAUAGAAUAUAUAUUAAGGAUUGAGCUGCAGAUAAAAGUUGUCAGAACCUCUUGUUUCCCACAAAUGCCUUUUCUCCAGCAGCCUGAUGACCAAAAGCCUCCCAGCGUUAUGGAACCACUGGGAUUCAUUUUAAAGGUACAAGGCAGAUACGUCUGAAGCCUAGAAACUUCUUCAGGUUUGUUUCUGUAGGACAAGAUGAAGUGUAACGAUGAGAAGCUUUUGGAAGUCAGGGCUGGUUCUCAUUAAAGUAGACAGAAGAAUGUUUUCAUGAAUUUCAGAAAAUAUUUUUAGCAGAAAGGAAAAGCAGAGCGUUUGCACAAAUCACAUUUCAGCAUCACAUUUUCUUGGUUUUCAUUAUCAUUAUCACCACUUGAUUGAUCAUUUAAAGUCCUGUUUUUGCUGUUACAUUCCUUUAGCCUUGUUUGUGGUUGUUUCUGUUGUGUGUUGAAGUAGCAUCAGAGGCCACCUGUCGCCUGCAGGUCACACUCUUUAUUGCUUGUUUAGGGUUAAUAACUGUGGUCUAAUGGUGAGUCGCAACCAAGACAACCGUUUUAAACUGGACACCAGUAUAACCACGCAACACUGGAUAUGCCUCAGCACAUCAGGGAGAGGAGGCAGAGGAAUCGUACGUUGCAUGGUUAAACAUUUUCCUCUGCAGCUCAGGACUAAAUAGCUUAAUGUUCCUGUCUGUCGGUUCAUUAAAUAUUCUUGUUUUCUGUAAGGUACACAAACAGGUGGAAGUAUGUAUUUAUUAUAGAUAAUUAUUUAGUUUUGUUGUUUUCUUACUAAUUAAAUGUAUCUAUUCACGUUGUUGGUUCUUUGAGUUUAAAGGUUUAUGUUUGCUCAGAAUAACUGUCCCACCGUUCUUCUACAGAGCUGAUUUCAGUUUAUCUUUAACCAGCUGACCUCAUACUUGCUAAUCUACCAGGAUGGACCUUCAUUGUUAUGUGUGGAAAAAGACACGUUGAUGCUGUUAUAAUAAACUUAGUUUCAUCAAACUUU